rnacentral:RNase_P_RNA from 1 species
AGCAGGGUAUGUGGCCGCGGCUGGCAGGACCGAAAGGGGCCAGGCGAGGAAAGUCCGGGCUUCACAGGGCAGGAUGCCGGAUAACGUCCGGCGGAGGCGACUCCAGGGACAGUGCAACAGAAAUAAACCGCCUGCGUCCGCAGGUAAGGGUGGAAAGGCAGUGUAAGAGACUACCGCCGCCCUGGCAACAGGACGGGCACAUGUAAACCCCAUCCGAAGCAAGACCAGACAGAAGACGGUGCGGCGGCCCGCCGCGUCUUCAGGUAGGUCGCUGGAGGCUGCCGGCGACGGCAGUCCUAGAUAGAUGGCCACACACGACAUAACCCGGCUUACCGCCCUGCUCGU